rnacentral:rRNA from 1 species
UACCGAAGCUACGGCAUCAUUAUGAUGGGUAGGGGAGCUUCCCAUACGGGUUGAAGCAUGACCGUAAGGACAUGGGGACAGUAUGGGAGUGAGAAUGUUGGCAUGAGUAGCGAGAUGUGGGUGAGAAGCCCACAGGCCGUAAACCCAAGGUUUCCAGGGGAAGGUUCGUCCGCCCUGGGUUAGUCGGGACCUAAGCUGAGGC